rnacentral:rRNA from 1 species
GUGAGGAAUAUUGCGCAAUGGACGAAAGUCUGACGCAGCCAUGCCGCGUGAAGGAUUGACGGCCCUAUGGGUUGUAAACUUCUUUUGUAUAGGAAUAAACCCUCGUUCGUGAACGAGGCUGAAGGUACUAUAAGAAUAAGCACCGGCUAACUCCGUGCCAGCAGCCGCGGUAAUACGGAGGGUGCAAGCGUUAUCCGGAUUUAUUGGGUUUAAAGGGUCCGUAGGCGGAUCGUUAAGUCAGUGGUGAAAUCCUACCGCUCAACGGUAGAACUGCCAUUGAUACUGGCGAUCUUGAGUAUGUAUGAAGUUGGCGGAAUGUGUGGUGUAGCGGUGAAAUGCUUAGAUAUCACACAGAACACCGAUUGCGAAGGCAGCUGACUAAUACACAACUGACGCUGAGGGACGAAAGUGUGGGGAUCAAACAGGAUUAGAUACCCCAGUAUCC